GAGCAGCUCCGGAGUUCUGAACCAACUCUGUACCAUCAAAAGGGGAUUUUAUUGAUAUUCUAAAAUCAGAAUAGAGUUAUCAUUUUCGAACCAAGUCCUGGACCAGAAAGUUCAUCUACACCUACAGCUUAAAGCAGUUCCCUACAGAAGCAGCAUUCUACAGUUCUGCUCCAGACUUCUCCCUGUUCUGAAGGCUCAUCAAUUCCAGUAGUUGAGAAGCUCUCUAAAUCCUCCCACAGAAACUAACUACACAGUAAAAACUCUCCUAUAUAUUCCGUAACAAGUUUUUACCAAUAAACAUUUUUCAACCCCCA